AAACCAGUUUACUAGCUAGACUUUGAAUUUUAAAGUUGAUGCAGUAAAGAAAAAUUCCAUUCUUAGUAGCUGGGGAUGAAACUUGUUUUAUUCAUUGUGUCACACUCUAUUGAUCUUGAUCAAAUAUCAAAGACUGCACUGAGCCGUAAAGCAGUUGGUACUUGUACUUCAGAGGUCUGCAGUUGGUACAUGUACUUCAGAGGCCUGCAGCUGGUACAUGUAGUUCAGAGGUCUGCAGCUGGUACAUGUAGUUCAGAGGUCUUGGUUAUGUUGGGAUCAGAUGUGAUUGUAUGGCUUAAGUACUGAACAGGUCUGGUGGUUAAAAAAAAUCAUAAGGUUUUUGCGAGUCUAUUUUCUUUCAUUCUUUGAUUUAAUUUGUAUUAAUUAAGUUAACUUGAUGUAUUGAAUUUACAUGUACUUUUUAUCUCAAUCGAAUUAAGAUUUGAGCGUUCACGCUCCCGUAGUUGAUACAUAUCAAAUAUGGGAACGUGAAGGAUCCAAUUUUAAUUAAAUUUGUUCUUAUUUCACAUAGUUAAUAAAUAUAUAAAGCUUUGUUUGAAAUCACCAGCACUAGAAGUGAUAAAAUAAACUUGAAUCUUAUUUCAAUGCAUUUAAUAUAUAUGCAGUAAAAUACCCAUAAAUAUAUUCUAUUAAGUCAAUUUUCAUUUGGUUUUAUAGAUAUUUUAAACUAUUUACUAUAACUGAAUUCUUUUGUUGCUUAUUAGUGAAAAUAUAUAACAAACAUGUAUGUAAAUUGAAGUAACUGAUAUUCUUUCAUGUUUUGUGUAACUUAUUUUACCUUAAGAGAUGAUGGAAAUCAGGCAGCUGAUCUCUGGAAUAAAAGAUUUGCGGUACAGAU
rnacentral:misc_RNA from 1 species